rnacentral:rRNA from 1 species
GACGAACGCUGGCGGCGUGCUUAACACAUGCAAGUCGAACGGUGAAGCGCCUUCCUUUUUGGUGGGUGUGGAUGAGUGGCGAACGGGUGAGUAACACGUGAGUAACCUGCCCCCUUCUUCUGGAUAACCGCAUGAAAGUGUGGCUAAUACGGGAUAUUCUGGGUCUGUCGCAUGAUGGGUCUGGGAAAGAUAUUGUUUCGGUGGGGGAUGGGCUCGCGGCCUAUCAGCUUGUUGGUGGGGUGAUGGCCUACCAAGGCGGUGACGGGUAGCCGGCCUGAGAGGGUGGACGGUCACACUGGGGAUGAGACACGGCCCAGACUCCUACGGGAGGCAGCAGUGGGGAAUAUUGCACAAUGGGCGCAAGCCUGAUGCAGCGACGCCGCGUGAGGGAUGGAGGCCUUCGGGUUGUGAACCUCUUUCGCCAGUGAAGCAGGCCUGCCUCGUUUGUGGGUGGGUUGACGGUAGCUGGAUAAGAAGCGCCGGCUAACUACGUG